rnacentral:piRNA from 1 species
UUUGACAUAGGCUGAUAAUAUUCU